AAAACCGCGGGAUAUGUACAAGUAACCCGACCCACCCGUUUUGCCGCCUGCAAUUUUCAAGAUCUGUUAAAAACACUCUUCUGGUGGCGCGUUUGGCCUGCUUCACACCCCUCUCUCUUUCCGCAUCCAAAAAUGACGACCGCCAUGGGACCACCACCUCCUAGAAACCCUAAACCCUCCUCCUCCUCAUCUUCCAUCACCACAGAAUCCGAAAUAAUCGACCAACCUCAAGACACUUCAAUAACGACAACGACGACGACGACGACGACGACAAUGAUAAUUCCCAUGGGCCCAGAGCCAGAAAGAACCACAGGCCCUCCCGAACCAGAACCUAUCGAAGGAAAACCUAAAUCCAAAAAUUCUCUCGAUCCUAUUACGACAGCGUCUAAAGAACAGUCAGCGAAGCGAUCCUCCUCUUCGGUGCCGUACAAGAUUCCUGAAUGGAGUGGACCGCCUUGUCAUAACUAUUACAUUGAAGUUCUUAAAGAUGGCUCUGUUAUUGAUCAAUUAGACGUAUUUGAGAAAGGAGCUUAUAUGUUUGGACGUAUUGAUCUCUGUGAUUUUAUACUUGAACAUCCUACUAUCUCUCGGUUUCACUCUGUUCUUCAGUUCAAAAGAAGUGGAGAUGCUUACCUUUAUGACCUCAGUAGUACUCAUGGUACUUUCAUCAACAAGUCCCAGAUUGAGAACCAAGUUUAUGUGGAAUUACAUGUUGGUGAUGUCAUGCGGUUUGGCCAGUCAUCUCGAUUGUACGUAUUCCAAGGACCAACCGAGUUGAUGCCACCUGAAAAAGACUUGAAGAUGCUUAGAGAAGCGAAGAUCCGGCAAGAGAUGCUUGAUCGGGAAUCUUCACUUCGACGAGCAAGAGCAGAAGCAUCUCUUGCUGAUGGUAUCUCAUGGGGCAUGCAAGAAGAUGCUAUUGAAGAAGAUGAGGAUGAUGGUGAUGAAAUUACUUGGCAAACCUACAAAGGAAAACUUACAGAGAAGCAGGAGAAAACCCGUGAUAAAAUUAUUAAACGAACUGAAAAGAUUGCUCAUAUGAAGAAAGAAAUAGAUGCUAUCCGUGCUAAAGACAUUGCUCAAGGUGGGUUGACGCAGGGGCAGCAAACUCAAAUUGCUCGUAAUGAACAAAGAAUGACAGAGAUCCUGGAAGAACUGGAAAACCUGGAAGAGACAUUAAAUGAAAGUAUCCAGGAAAGUAUUGGUGCUCGUGUUGGAAGGAAAUCUGGUGGUAUGAGAAAAGGGGCAGCGGAAGAUGAUGAAGGUUUCUUGAGUGAUGAUGAUGAAUUCUAUGACCGGACAAAGAAACUUUCAAUACAGAAGGCAAAUGAAACUCGAUCAGUUGAAACUGCCGAUACACUUCUUGACAAGAGAGAUGCCAUCAUGAAGGAAAUGGAGGACAAAAAAGAGGCACUUUUGACUGAGAAGAAUAAAAUGGCAUCUGAAACUGCUGUAGAAACUGAAGCUGGAGAUGCACUUGAUGCUUACAUGUCAGGGCUUUCAUCUCAAUUAGUGCUCGAUAAGACAUUGCAACUUGAAAAAGAGUUGGCUGCUCUUCAAUCUGAACUGGAUAGGAUAUUCUUCCUGUUGAAAAUUGCUGACCCAUCAGGAGAAGCUGCUAAGAAAAGGGAUUCAACAGUACCAGAAGUGAAACUCAAUAAACCUGAAGCACCUGUUGUUACUACCAAAAAGCAGCCAACUGCGAAACAAAAGAAAAGCAGUGGGGUGGGAAAGUCAAUAGAGGUGUCUAUGAAGAAAGACAACACUCCAAAUUCCACAGUUGCUGGCACAGAAUCAGACAAUAAGCCAGAAGCUGACAAGACUCUAGUUGAUGCACCAGAGGUUACACCUUAUACUGUUGUAGAGCCUCAAUGGCUUGGUGCAGUGGAUCAUAAGGAAGUUGAAGAGACCAAACAAGAAAUUUUGAAUUUAGAUGAGGCUAACCAAUUUGUUGAUUAUAAAGACAGGCAAAGAAUCCUUCUUAGUGUUGAUGAUGCAAGGAAUAAGGUGGAUUCAGGCAUUGAAGAUGCUGCUCCUGGGUUGAUACUGAGGAAGCCAAAGGAAACUGUGAGACCUGGAAUUAGUGACUUGGAUCAUUCCCCAGCAUCCUCUGUAGAAGCCAAGUUCGCAGCAGAAGAUGCUGUGGCAUUAUUACUGAAGCAUAAAAGAGGGUAUCAUGCCGAAGAAGAGGGAGGAGGACAUGAAAGGCAAGAGAUACGCAAAGAACAGCAUAAAAAGGAUAGCAAAAGACCAAAAAGAGUGCUUGGACCUGAGAAACCAUCUUUUAUCAAUAGUAAUUCAGAUAAUGAAACUUGGGUGCCUCCUGAAGGACAAUCAGGUGAUGGACGAACCUUUCUGAAUGAUCGUUAUGGGUAUUGAAUUAUCAUUCUCGGCUUGUCAUGAGUUCAGGCCCAAAGCAUAGGAGUGCAAGCAUGUUUAUGAGGGAACGGUGACACUAAGCCCGGCUUAUGCUUGGUUUGUCAUGAUUUCCGCCCCAAAGCAUGAGUAUGCAAGCAUGUUUAUAAGGGAAUGGUGACACUAAUCUCGGUUUAACGAGGCCACUGCACAGUUGAGGUUAAAUCAUCCUGCAGAAUUAGGGCCUUUAGUUCUCCACUUCUAACGCAAAUAGAGAGCUGAUAGCUGCUCAGUGUUAUUGACCUGAUCGAAUUUAGCCAAAUGUACAUCUGAAAACAUUUAGGUUGGAGAUGGUUGUCAAGGACUUCUUCUGAAUGGAUAAGAGGCCUGAGGCAAAACUCAACCUCCAACCAUCAUAGGAAGAAAAGAAGAAGCUCAAGUAGAAACAUACCAGAACCAAAACUUAAUGAGUUCCUUGAAUUCAAUGCAGAAGCAAUUGAAUCCCUCAAGUUACUUCUACAGCAAAAGCUUGAAAAUGGGGAAGAUGAGGAAGCUUUAAAGAAACUAAGCCGCCUAGUCGAGGCACAACCAUUGGUUACAGAGUGGAAAUUCUCGAUGGUAAGAUUGUUAAAUGAAAUGGGUAGAACACAGGUUGCACGUAGCAUGUUUGAAGAAAUUCUUCAAAUGAAGGCAUUGUUUGUGAAUGCACUUCUAAUGGACCGAUGUGUAGAAGGGGAUGCAGUUAUAAGGAGGCUACAAGAGUCUUUAGACAUUGCAGAAGAGGGGAAUAAAGUGAAUGAGCUAGAGAUGUGAGGCUUAUUGUAGCACAUAUACAGUUGAGGAAAUUACAUUAAAAAAACUGUACUUUUAGAAAAGAAUAUCAUUUUUAUUGUGAUUUUUUUUAUACAAUAUUUUAUUUAUACUGAUUUUAACUUUUUUAUA